UGGGGAAUUUUGGACAAUGGGGGAAACCCUGAUCCAGCCAUCCCGCGUGUGCGAUGAAGGCCUUCGGGUUGUAAAGCACUUUUGGCAGGAAAGAAACGUCAUGGGUUAAUACCCCGUGAAACUGACGGUACCUGCAGAAUAAACACCGGCUAACUACGUGCCAGCAGCCGCGGUAAUACGUAGGGUGCAAGCGUUUAUCGGAAUUACUGGGCGUAAAGCGUGCGCAGGCGGUUCGGAAAGAAAGAUGUGAAAUCCCAGAGCUCAACUUUGGAACUGCAUUUUUAACUACCGGGCUAGAGUGUGUCAGAGGGAGGUGGAAUUCCGCGUGUAGCAGUGAAAUGCGUAGAUAUGCGGAGGAACACCGAUGGCGAAGGCAGCCUCCUGGGAUAACACUGACGCUCAUGCACGAAAGCGUGGGGAGCAAACAGG
rnacentral:rRNA from 1 species